GGGAACGUGGCUCAGUGGUAGAGCGCUUGCCUUGCAUGCAUGAGGCCCCGAUUCCU
rnacentral:tRNA from 1 species